CAGGAUUACAGAAUUCUGGGAUGUGGUCUCUGUUCAGCACAGUCCUAUUCAAAACAUAAGUCAGUCAGGCCCGAGAACAAGUCUGGAGCUCAACAUGCUUCUAGUGUAUUGACAAAGGCUUCACUUCUGACCACUCUACUGCAUUACCAAAGUCAUCUGCUCUGGUCAUUGUGACACCAUUGGCUGCAAGGUUCUCACCAGAAUCCAGCUGAUGCUUGUACUCUUCUUUUGAAUCUCCAAACUCACCUCUCAGCUUGGAAUUCAUCCAAUAGAGCGUUGAGACAGAAACCAAAGUGGCUUCCUGCUUCCAACAUCUGUUGUGCCUCAGCUCUUCCCUAAAAUCUGGCGUAGAAAGCAUCCAACCAUAUCUCUAAAUCACUAAACUAAUAAUUUUCUACUGGAUAAAGUAGAAAAUAUUUAACAUGACUUAGAAACUA